AUUGAACGCUGGCGGAAUGCUUUACACAUGCAAGUCGAACGGCAGCACGGACUUCGGUCUGGUGGCGAGUGGCGAACGGGUGAGUAAUGUAUCGGAACGUGCCCAGUCGUGGGGGAUAACGUAGUGUAAAUUACGCUAAUACCGCAUACGAUCUAUGGAUGAAAGCGGGGAUCGCAAGACCUCGCGCGAUUGGAGCGGCCGAUAUCAGAUGAGGUAGUUGGUGGGGUAAAGGCCCACCAAGCCAACGAUCUGUAGCUGGUCUGAGAGGACGACCAGCCACACUGGAACUGAGACACGGUCCAGACUCCUACGGGAGGCAGCAGUGGGGAAUUUUGGACAAUGGGCGAAAGCCUGAUCCAGCCAUUCCGCGUGCAGGAUGAAGGCCCUCGGGUUGUAAACUGCUUUUGUACAGAACGAAAAGGUUUCUACUAAUACUAGGAGCUCAUGACGGUACUGUAAGAAUAAGCACCGGCUAACUACGUGCCAGCAGCCGCGGUAA
rnacentral:rRNA from 1 species